rnacentral:rRNA from 1 species
UUCGCCAUCGGUAUUCCUCCAGAUCUCUACGCAUUUCACCGCUACACCUGGAAUUCUACCAUCCUCUCCCAUACUCUAGCUUCCCAGUAUCGAAUGCAAUUCCCAAGUUAAGCUCGGGGAUUUCACAUCCGACUUAAAAAGCCGCCUACGCACGCUUUACGCCCAGUAAAUCCGAUUAACGCUCGCACCCUCUGUAUUACCGCGGCUGCUGGCACAGAGUUAGCCGGUGCUUAUUCUGCGAGUAACGUCCACUAUCCCAGAGUAUUAAUCCAGGUAGCCUCCUCCUCGCUUAAAGUGCUUUACAACCAAAAGGCCUUCUUCACACACGCGGCAUGGCUGGAUCAGGCUUCCGCCCAUUGUCCAAUAUUCCCCACUGCUGCCUCCCGUAGGAGUCUGGGCCGUGUCUCAGUCCCAGUGUGGCGGAUCAUCCUCUCAGACCCGCUACAGAUCGUCGCCUUGGUAGGCCUUUACCCCACCAACUAGCUAAUCCGACUUAGGCUCAUCAUUUAGCGCAAGGUCCGAAGAUCCCCUGCUUUCUCCCGUAGGACGUAUGCGGUAUUAGCAUUCCUUUCGGAAUGUUGUCCCCCACUAAUAGGCAGAUUCCUAAGCAUUACUCACCCGUCCGCCGCUAAGAUAAGGUGCAAGCACCUCAUCUCCGCUCGACUUGCAUGUGUUAAGCCUGCCGCCAGCGUUCAAUCUGAGCCAGGAUCAAACUCUCAUC